ACUAGUUAGGUAAUCAUAAAUGACCUAUAACAAUCUUAUGACUCAUUUCAUAUAGUUUUAUUUUGGAAAAUUUGUCAAAAACCACCUUUUAUAACCACUUUUUUUUUUUUUUUGAAAAACCACUUUUUAAUUUUUUUUGUUAAUUAGCCACCUUUUUUUUUUUUUUUGGUUAAAAGCCACCUUUUACCGGAAAAUAGUAAUUGAUCGAUAAACUCCAGCGUUGACCGUCACGUGCAUGGCACGUGAUGUCAUUAAUCCCUUCUUCUUUUUUUUUCCAGAUUUUCCCCCCAAAUGCACCCUCUUCCUUCAUCUCUCUCUCCCUUCGAUUCACAAAUCAUGCUACAACUUGGAUUCAUUCUAGUAUUAUUGAUGGAAUUCAAGCUCUUUACAUAAAAUCCCCUGUAACAAAGAUUUAAUUCUUGGUGUUUGUGACUUUUGGUGUCCGAAGACUAAUUCUUUCAUAUUUCCAUAAGGUGAAGCUACAAUUACUCUUGAAGAUGUCAUGAUUCUCGAUGGUUUACCUGUAAUUCGUGAGUCUUUUAACAAACACAUUAAAGAAAAUUCUUUGAAAAUUGAUGGUGAAUUAAGAAGGGCAAUAAAGGAAAUCUCUGAAAAGAGUGUUGAGAAUGGAGGAGAGAGAGGCUACUCACUCAGCUUGGAUUAAGCAUUUCAGGGAAGAAGAAGAAGGUGAAAUUGAACAUGAAGAAGGAAUCCACCUUCGAUAACAGAAGAGAACAGAAGUAUUACACAAGAACUAAAAGUGGAGAAGCAAAUUUCAGCAGUGUAUAUUAUUAUUUGGUGUCCUUUAGAAAAAAAAGGUGUGUAUCAAUUACGAUGGCUGUUUACAUGCACACUCAUCCAAAGCCAUACAUACCCAGCAACCGUAAUUAAAAAGUAUA